AUUGAACGCUGGCGGCAUGCCUUACACAUGCAAGUCGAACGGCAGCGCGGGCUUCGGCCUGGCGGCGAGUGGCGAACGGGUGAGUAAUGCAUCGGAACGUGCCCAGUAGUGGGGGAUAGCCCAGCGAAAGCCGGAUUAAUACCGCAUACGACCUGAGGGUGAAAGCGGGGGACCGAAAGGCCUCGCGCUAUUGGAGCGGCCGAUGUCGGAUUAGCUAGUUGGUGGGGUAAAGGCUUACCAAGGCGACGAUCCGUAGCUGGUCUGAGAGGACGACCAGCCACACUGGGACUGAGACACGGCCCAGACUCCUACGGGAGGCAGCAGUGGGGAAUUUUGGACAAUGGGGGCAACCCUGAUCCAGCCAUGCCGCGUGCGGGAAGAAGGCCUUCGGGUUGUAAACCGCUUUUGUUCGGGAAGAAAUCCUCUGGGCUAAUACCCCGGGGGGAUGACGGUACCGGAAGAAUAAGCACCGGCUAACUACGUG
rnacentral:rRNA from 1 species